ACCCCGGUAGCACAGUUGGUAGUGGCAUCGGCAGUACAUACAUAUGCCGAGGGCUGCAGGUUCAAAUCCUGUCUGCGGUG